rnacentral:rRNA from 1 species
AUGGAUGCACUCAUGGCUAACUAUGGAUCCGACUCUGACGAUGACAAUGAGCCGGCGGCGGUUGUCGGUGGUGCUCCGGAGCCACAGGAAGCUUCCGUGCUGCUUCCUCCUCCUCCCCUCGACCUUCUCCAGCCCCCAAAUUUCGUAGAUUACUCGACAAUUGCACAGGGGAGUCGCAUCCGGAGUUUCCCCCAUGUGGAAGGCAACUACGCGCUGCAUGUCUACAUCCCUGUUGUCAUUCCUUUCAACGCAAGAAAACAGCUGACCCUCGUUAUGAGAAGAGCUGCGUCACUUGUGCCAGAUCUCUAUGCUGUAGAUGCAGAUUAUGCACUUUCGGAUUUGUGCAAAGAUGAGCAAAAACUUGAGAAAGUGCUUCUGGGCAGGGAGUUCCAUGUAAGCUUAGGAAGAACUGUUGGAAUUCAGGUGCAUCAAAUUGACUCCCUCGUUGCAAUGCUUCGUCAGAAGUUUCAAUCACAACAGCGGUAUUGGAUGGACUUCAACAAAUGGGAGCAUUUUGUCAAUGAUGAUUCUACACGAUCAUUUCUUUCACUAGAGGUUACAAGAACUGGGUUACCAGAGAUAAGUAAACAAAUACAUAUGGUUGAUGAAGUAUAUCGAUUGCACGGUCUCCCUGAGUUUUACAAGAAUCCUCGGCCACACAUAUCACUGGCGUGGGCAUUGGGUGAUGUUAGCUCCAAAUUGAAGCAAGCAACUAAGGAGAUUGAAAAAUUUGAGAACAGCAUCAACUCAUCUAAAAACUGUAAUCUGAGAUGCAAUUUCAGUCGUAUAGUGUGUAAAGUAGGCAAGAAGGUCUACGAUAUCUGUAAAAUUGGAGACUGA